rnacentral:rRNA from 1 species
UUCUGCUCAGGACGAACGCUGGCGGCGUGCCUAAUACAUGCAAGUCGAGCGGACAGAAGGGAGCUUGCUCCCGGAUGUUAGCGGCGGACGGGUGAGUAACACGUGGGUAACCUGCCUGUAAGACUGGGAUAACUCCGGGAAACCGGAGCUAAUACCGGAUAGUUCCUUGAACCGCAUGGUUCAAGGAUGAAAGACGGUUUCGGCUGUCACUUACAGAUGGACCCGCGGCGCAUUAGCUAGUUGGUGGGGUAAUGGCUCACCAAGGCGACGAUGCGUAGCCGACCUGAGAGGGUGAUCGGCCACACUGGGACUGAGACACGGCCCAGACUCCUACGGGAGGCAGCAGUAGGGAAUCUUCCGCAAUGGACGAAAGUCUGACGGAGCAACGCCGCGUGAGUGAUGAAGGUUUUCGGAUCGUAAAGCUCUGUUGUUAGGGAAGAACAAGUGCGAGAGUAACUGCUCGCACCUUGACGGUACCUAACCAGAAAGCCACGGCUAACUACGUGCCAGCAGCCGCGGUAAUACGUAGGUGGCAAGCGUUGUCCGGAAUUAUUGGGCGUAAAGGGCUCGCAGGCGGUUUCUUAAGUCUGAUGUGAAAGCCCCCGGCUCAACCGGGGAGGGUCAUUGGAAACUGGGAAACUUGAGUGCAGAAGAGGAGAGUGGAAUUCCACGUGUAGCGGUGAAAUGCGUAGAGAUGUGGAGGAACACCAGUGGCGAAGGCGACUCUCUGGUCUGUAACUGACGCUGAGGAGCGAAAGCGUGGGGAGCGAACAGGAUUAGAUACCCUGGUAGUCCACGCCGUAAACGAUGAGUGCUAAGUGUUAGGGGGUUUCCGCCCCUUAGUGCUGCAGCUAACGCAUUAAAGCA